rnacentral:rRNA from 1 species
AGAGUUUGAUCCUGGCUCAGGAUGAACGCUGGCGGCGUGCUUAACACAUGCAAGUCGAACGAAGCGAUUAGAAGGAAGUUUUCGGAUGGAAUUUUAAUUGACUGAGUGGCGGACGGGUGAGUAACGCGUGGGUAACCUGCCUCAUACAGGGGGAUAACAGUUAGAAAUGACUGCUAAUACCGCAUAAGCGCACAGGAUUGCAUGAUCCGGUGUGAAAAACUCCGGUGGUAUGAGAUGGACCCGCGUCUGAUUAGCUAGUUGGUGGGGUAACGGCCUACCAAGGCGACGAUCAGUAGCCGACCUGAGAGGGUGACCGGCCACAUUGGGACUGAGACACGGCCCAAACUCCUACGGGAGGCAGCAGUGGGGAAUAUUGCACAAUGGGGGAAACCCUGAUGCAGCAACGCCGCGUGAGUGAAGAGGUAUUUCGGUAUGUAAAGCUCUAUCAGCAGGGAAGAAAAUGACGGUACCUGAGUAAGAAGCCCCGGCUAACUACGUG